CUUUAGGAUGAGUCUGCGGCCGAUUAGGUAGUUGUUGGGGUAACCGGCCCAACAAGCCUGUCAUCGGUACGGGUUGUGGGAGCAAGAGCCCGGAGAUGGAUUCUGAGACACGAAUCCAGGCCCUACGGGGCGCAGCAGGCGCGAAAACUUUACCAUGCGGGCAACCGUGAUAAGGAAACCUUGAGUGCCAGCACAGGCUGGCUGUCCGCCAGUGUAAAUAACUGGUGAAGAAAGGGCCGGGCAAGACCGGUGCCACGCCGCCGCGGUAAUACCGGCGGCUCGAGUGGUGGCCGAUAUUACCUGGGCUUAAAGGGUCCGUCGCUGGAUGUACAAGUCCCUUGAGAAAUCCGCCGGCUUAACUGGCCGGGCGUUCAGGAGAAACUGUAUUUCUAGGGCCCGGGAGAGGUGACAGGUACUGACGAGGUAGGAGUGAAUCCUGUAAUCGCCGGUGGGACCACCUAUGUCGAAGGCAUCUCACCAGAACGGUCCGACAGUGAGGGACGAAAGCUGGGGGACAAACCGGAUAGAUACCCGGUAGU
rnacentral:rRNA from 1 species